rnacentral:rRNA from 1 species
GCGGUUAUGCAAGACAGAGGUGAAAUCCCGCUCAACCUGGGAACUGCCUUUGUGACUGCAUAUAGAGUACGGUAGAGGGGAUGGAAUUCCGCGUGUAGCAGUGAAAUGCGUAGAUAUGGGAGGAACACCGAUGCGAAGGCAAUCCCCUGGACCUGUACUGACGCUCAUGCACGAAGCGUGGGGAGCAAACGGAUUAGAUACCCUGGUAGUCCACGCCCUAAACGAUGUCAACGGUUGUUGGGAGGGUUCUUCUCAGUAACGUA